GACGAACGCUGGCGGCGUGCUUAACACAUGCCAGUCGAACGGAAAGGCCCUGCUUUUGUGGGGUGCUCGAGUGGCGAACGGGUGAGUAACACGUGAGUAACCUGCCCUUGACUUUGGGAUAACUUCAGGAAACUGGGGCUAAUACCGGAUAGGAGCUCCUGCUGCAUGGUGGGGGUUGGAAAGUUUCGGCGGUUGGGGAUGGACUCGCGGCUUAUCAGCUUGUUGGUGGGGUAGUGGCUUACCAAGGCUUUGACGGGUAGCCGGCCUGAGAGGGUGACCGGCCACAUUGGGACUGAGAUGCGGCCCAGACUCCUACGGGAGGCAGCAGUGGGGAAUAUUGCACAAUGGGCGGAAGCCUGAUGCAGCAACGCCGCGUGCGGGAUGACGGCCUUCGGGUUGUAAACCGCUUUCGCCUGUGACGAAGCGUGAGUGACGGUAAUGGGUAAAGAAGCACCGGCUAACUACGCG
rnacentral:rRNA from 1 species